GAGAAAGGUGAGCACUACAAGUGAGCCCUGAGGGGACCACCCACCACACACCUGGGGGACCUCAAAGAGUCCACCCCUUGUACUGUCACGGAAGGCUCAGGGCUGUGCUAUAGGACACCCCUGUGGUGUACCCUCCAUUUCUCUCACAGGGGAUCCAGGAACCAGGAGGUGAAGGCAGAGGUCUGAGGACCAUGUCCAGAGGUCAGAGAACAGAAGAGGUCCAGGCAGUGCCAGGAGUCAAGGCAUUGCACUUGGGAUCGAGAUGAGUGAGCUAAGAAAGCCCGAGGAAGACCUUCAGGACCCAGGCAAGGCCCAGGACCCGGAAGAGGAGCAACUCUUGGGGGCUGAGGCAGGGGGAGGCUGCAUCCGCCUUGGCCUCCUCCCCGCCAGUCUCCCUUGCAGUAGCCUUGUCCCAGGAAGCUCUGAAUGAGAUGCUGGUUAACCUGAUGAAGUUUCUUGCUCUUCAAGUAUCAGGCCAAGGAGCUGGUCUGUGGCAUUGAGGUGAAGGAGGUGGACCCCAUGGAGCACAUCUACAUCAUGGUCUCCACGCUGGGAUUCACCUGUGAUGCAAUGCUGAGCAGUAGGCAGGGCUUGCCCAAGGCUGGUCUCCUGGUGCUCGUCCUCAGCCUGAUCAUGCAGAAUGGAGACCAUGCCCCUGUGGAGGAAGUCUGGGGAACACUCAGCAGACUGAGUGUGUGUUAGGAGUGAGCAAUGCAUCUUUGGGGAGCACAGGCCACUGCUGACCCACGUAUGGGUGCAGGAGGGGUACCUGGAGUACCAGCAGAUGCCUGACAACGACCCUCAUCAAUACGAGUUCCUGUGGGGUCCCUGGGCCUAUGCAGAGACCAACAAGUGGGAAGUCACGGAGUAUCUGCUCAGAGUCAGCCAAAGGUUUUCCAGAGCCUUCCCACCCCUGUCUGCAGAGACUGUGAGGGAGGAGAAGAGGAGUCCUGACCCAGAGAAGCUGCCAAACUGAUCCUUCCCUCUGUGACUGAAGAGGGAGCAGUCAGCUUUCUCAGUAGUGAUGGCAUGGGCCACUGGGGAACCCUGUGUAUAACAUCUUUGUGUUCCUUUUCUCUGCGAUGAUGUGGAAAUAAAACUCUGUUUUUUAUGAAUUUUUCCAAUGUGUUUUCUCAGCUUAAGCCUUAAUAAACUUCAGUAUCUAACUUUGUGAAUGACAUUGAUCACACAUGUAUUUGUACUUAGCCAGUUAAAGGACCAGAGUUUUGCUGU
ensembl:lncRNA